AAAAGAAUAAUAUCUCAAUCAUUAAGCACCCUCUCUGACUGCAUAAAGUUGAAUUCCUUUCAAGUAUCCAAAGGAGUGUUGGAAACUGGAAGGACAUGGGUUUCAUUUCCUCAGGUGCCCUGACAUGGAAAAAAUUUCAUGGAAGAAGUGUCCUACAAAUCAUAGCAUUUUAAAGUUUUUCCCCACUUACUGACAGGUGGAUGCUUUAACAACUAAGCGGGGGAAAGAAGGAGGAUGGGUUGUUGAACGGCUAUUGAACCAGUUACUUAUAGAGUUAGAUGGUGCUGAGCAGCGGCGGGGUGUAUUUGUUAUUGGUGCCACUAAUAGACCCGACGUCAUGGACCGUGCUGUUUUGCGGCCCGGAAGGUUUGGUAAACUUAUCUAUGUCGCCCCACCCACUAAAGAUGAGCGUGGUUUAAUAUUAAAAGCUCUUGCGAGGAAGAAGCCUAUAGAUGC